rnacentral:snoRNA from 8 species
CUGCAAUGAUGUCUUGAAUUUCUUCACCUGAAUUCAAACUGAAGAUCAAAAUACGAGCUUUUUAACCCUGAGCAAC